rnacentral:piRNA from 5 species
GUAGCAGAGCAGCUCCCUCGCUGCGAUCU